AGCUUCGCACCGUGGCAGUAUUGUAACCAAUUAGGUUUAUUCAAGGUGUGAUUACUGCUAGGUGAAAAAUUUCCCCCCCUCCAAAUGAGGUAAGAAAAAUCACAUGAGGAAAUGUAUAUAGAAUAUAUGACCGAGCUAGCCAUAU
ensembl:snRNA LOC120094968 U4 spliceosomal RNA